AGCACUUUUGACCAUAGACUGUACAUAAAGAUAAAUAUAGCCAACCUUAUGUCGCCUCUCGGUUUGUCUCCCAUUUUGAAAGUUUCAUUUAACCUUUCAUUAGUUGCUAUCUUGUUUACUAUUUUGGGACCCCAUGUUUUGGGUGACUGAGAAUCAUAUCCAGUUGUGUUAUAGCACAUCUACAUCUAAUUAAUCAGGAUAAAACACUGGUGCUCGUAGGUUGUGAAGAUAAUCCACUCGCUCCAUGCGGCACAGCUGCAUGCAAACUAUGUGGGUGGUGACUUGGAGAACUUGUUGAGCCGCUGUACUCGAACUUAGCAUCACAUAAUAUAUAUUUGGCUUCUUUGUCAUAAUUAAUGAGUUUGAAGUGGUCCCAUGCUAUACUUCGUUUUCAUGGCUUCAUCUAAGUGAGCUCUGCUUCUUUUGGGCCUGCCGCAAGAAUUUUGUGUUGCCUUGAAGGUUAGGCGCCCUCUACUGGUGACACCAUUCAUAGAAAGGGCAAUUAACUGACACCUAAUAUAAAAUAACAUACAAGUUAUCGCUCAUAUUGUUUAUAUCUGAAAGCUGGGUCACAUGACAGUUUUACUUCCUCUGAGCUCUUUGCAAAACCGGCAUUCCAAGUUGGCCUGUUCUCCCAAAUCACGACCAGAACCACCACCUUCUCCUUUGCCACUUAUUUGUUAAGUAUUUUGGUCACAUAGAAAGUACUACAGAGCAGUUUAUUUUCAAGCUUUUUCUGUUUGCCGGCAGGACAUGCUGAUGUCACAGUCCCACAUGAGUCUGCAUCAGGUUGCAGCCUGACACAAGGAAGCAUCAUCAUACAAUGUGCACAUACCAUUCUUGAUGUCUUGCCCAAGAUUUGAUGAAUCGUAGUCUUAAAGUUUGAGAUGUAACAACUAUGAUCCUUAGCUGCAAUUACAGUACAAGUGAAAGCAAGGUGAGAGAGUGCGGACAGAGCAGGCGCGAGGAAAAUGACUACAGAAAGGGGAUGAUGUGCUACAAAAACGGGUAAUCUGCAAGUCAUGCCGAAGAUUUUUCUUGCCACCACCCGAGGAAACGGGAGUAAUCUCCACAGUCAUCUACAACACCACCACGUUGAGCAAUAUAAACAUUUAAAAAAGCCACGGGUAGCGGCUCAUCAGUCAAACAAAGAUCUGUUCAUCAAAGUUUUUCCAUUGUUGCUCCCCAUGAGAAGAAAACAGUGUCGUUUGGUGAUGGACAUGGUGCCCACAAAUACAGUCAUCAGAGAAGGCUUCAUGAGUCUAAUUAACACUUUUGACCGAAGGAAUUUUAUUUUAUUUUUUUUUUCACUGAGUCGCCAUUCCACAAAUGUAGGAGAUGUGCCGGAAGAUGGUUAAAUGUGAGCGGAGUCAAGUUGUCCAACGAUUGAGCCCUACAUGAGUUGCCCUGCGUGCAUUUUUUUUUUUCCAACGAAGACUGAACUAAAAGCAGGAUAUCUGGACACUCUGUAUUUCCUGGAUUCACACCGGAGAAAACAUUGCUGCUGAGCUGCUUACGUGAGGUUCUAGCUAGCUGGGGACUACACAAAAACCAGCAAGUGUGUGUGAGUACGGACAACGGCACAAACAUCACGAAGGCCACGGACCUCAGCGACGGGGUCAGACCUCAGUGUUCUGGUCAAAGGCUGCAUCUUGCUGGUGAAAAGGCUCUUAAAGAUGAUUGGCACAUUGCUGGAGCUGUUGGGCUGUGCAGAAAGUUGGUCGGGCAUUUCUGCCAUAGCUGGAAAGUUUGGCAUUGAAAAGGGCACAACAGGAGCACAACCUCCCAGAGCACCCAAAAUCCUCGGAACAACAGCCAGCUUUAUCCGCCGUGCUCUCAGCAGACAGAAAAUAAAGGCAUUUGGUUCCCGCCUGGCAAGACCUGGAUGUGCUGGAGUCAGUAAACCAAGCUUCAGUCGCUGCAAGAAUUUACAGAUGCUCUCUCAGGUGAGAGUUAUGAAAGGGUUUCUUAUGUGAAACCAAACUUUCAUCUGAUGAAAACAUCAGUUCUUUCAAAGAAGGAAGGAGACAGCAACUUAACAAAACUUAUUAAGAUGAAAAUACUGGAUCACAUGUGCACAGUAUGAUCACUCAGCAACCCAGGAACGGUCUCAGACAUAAAAACGCUCCUGCAGCAUCACUGAAGGAUGGAAGUCAAACUUCUUCAGAGGCCCAGGAUCAACGACCACCCUCUCUGAAGAAACCAAAGUAGUCCCUGGCAAGUUUCUCAUCUUCAGUACAGCCGGCACAAGCCGUGGUAGCUGAGCUCGACAGGUAUUUUCUGUGUUUUACCACCGAUGGUGAGGCGGACCCUCUGGCUUGGCGGCAACUUCACCAGCUACCCACAGCUGACUAAACUUGCCAGGAAGAUCUCUGUAAUCCUGCAGGUAGUUCAGAGAGACUCUUCAGUAUGUCAGGAAACAUUGUUACAUGCCAACGCACAUGUUUAAAACCUACCAGAGUAAAUAUGCUCGUUUUCCUAACCAAGAACUUGCCAUAAUCGUUCAUGCUCACACAAGCAUGGGAGAAAAAUGUAUGGCAGAAACAUCCUUCCAUUGUAACGGGUGAAUACGCCGUGUGUUCAUGUAUGCUGACGUCUGAAUACGAUGGUCUUUGUGAUCGUUUUUUGGUUUGUCGGCGACCCAAUUCUGUAUGUCCAGACACAACUACUUGGUAACCAGAAAUGAAUUCGUUUUCUUCUUUUACUUACCGUACUUAAAGAUCUUCAUUUUUUUUAAUUCAAGCAGAUGCUUUUAUUGAUGCUUUUAUUUAAAAUGGCAAAAAGAAAAAGGGUUUAAAGGCAUGACAUGAAGAUGUUGUGAUUGGUUGUUGCCCCACAAUUAAGCUGUCACAGGUUGCCAGUAAAGCACUUGUUUAAAUGUUUUCCAAGCCAAGAACAUACCAUAAUAUUUCACAUACGUAUGUUUACACAUUUAUGUUCAUGUAUUUAUGUAUGUGCAGACAAGCAGUCGGCAGUAAAUGACGUACCAACCAUACAGUGUGUUCACCUAUCCAUUUACCAUUACUGUCAUUUAGCAGACGGUUUUAUCCAAAGCGACUCACAUCUGAGAAAAACACAAGAAAGAAUCACAUAGGAGGUCCAGCUGGAGAAGUUGGAGA